rnacentral:rRNA from 1 species
UACGUAGGCAGCAAGCGUUGUUCGGAGUUACUGGGCGUAAAGAGUGCGUAGGCGGUGUCGAAAGUUUGGCGUGAAAUCUCCCGGCUUAACUGGGAGGGUGCGCCGAAAACUGCAGUGCUGGAGUGUGGGAAAGGCAAGCGGAAUUCCUGGUGUAGCGGUGAAAUGCGUAGAUAUCAGGAGGAACACCGGCGGUGUAGACGGCUUGCUAGACCAUAACUGACGCUGAGGCACGAAAGCGUGGGUAGCAAACAGG